rnacentral:rRNA from 1 species
UAGGGAAUCUUCCGCAAUGGACGCAAGUCUGACGGAGCAACGCCGCGUGAGUGAAGAAGGAUUUCGGUUCGUAAAACUCUGUUGUUAGAGAAGAACAGCGCAUAGAGUAACUGUUAUGCGUGUGACGCUAUCUAACCAGAAAGCCACGGCUAACUACGUGCCAGCAGCCGCGGUAAUACGUAGGUGGCAAGCGUUGUCCGGAUUUAUUGGGCGUAAAGCGAGCGCAGGCGGUCAAUUAAGUCUGAUGUGAAAGCCCCCGGCUCAACCGGGGAGGGUCAUUGGAAACUGGUUGACUUGAGUGCAGAAGAGGAGAGUGGAAUUCCAUGUGUAGCGGUGAAAUGCGUAGAUAUAUGGAGGAACACCAGUGGCGAAGGCGACUCUCUGGUCUGUAACUGACGCUGAGGCUCGAAAGCGUGGGUAGCAAACAGG